rnacentral:lncRNA from 1 species
UCCUGGUUUCUACUGAACUUUGGUUAGUCUUUAUUGUAUUAAAAUUAAAUGAAAUUUUCAAGAUACCAAAGGCUCAAAAGGCUUUCAAAGUAGCCAUUCAUUUAUUUGUGAAAUAUAAUUCUAGAUAGUAUACACUCACCAUCUUGUUUCUCUGCAAACAUGUCAAUUCAGAAAUAAUUUCAUUAUAUCCUUGAUAGUCACCAUCUAAUUUUUAAUGUUGAAAAGCAAAGGGAUGAAAUUAAUUUUUAUGUGGGGUUGUCAUAAGACUAAGCUAUGCUCAAAUAUCAUUUACAUAUCAAUAAAUACCAAUUAGUCUAGUGAAGUAACUCAUUCUAAUUUUCAUAAAUCUUUAUUUAUCCUUAAAUGGUAUUUCCUUGCAUAUGAAAGCUUUUUAAAAAACAUGACAGUUUUCCUGUACAUCCCACUACUUGAUUCUGUUAGUAUCUUUGCUUCUUGGAGUGGAUUGUUAGAUUUUUUUUAUGCCACAAAUUUACUAGUCAAAAUUUGUAAUUAUUUUAUGUCAAAUGCAUAUAUGCUUACCCACUAUUUUGGUCCAUUAUAAACUUAAAAAUUAAACUCAUUUUCUUUCCAUUAUUUUAGUAUUCAACACUGUUGAUGAAAAUUUUAAUGUCAG